UUUUUUUAGAGAAACUGUUUACCUAUGGGUUAAUUCAGCCUCUAGUGGCUGUCUCACUAUAGUGCCAGGAAAACAAAUUUGUUUUCCUGGCACUAUAGUGGUCCUUUAAGGGGUUAGUAGUGCUUCUUAAUGAUUGGUCUACCAGGUGUCUCAUGUUUGUCAGUGACCAACUGGUAGUUUUUUGUCACCAGUCCAGUACUAAGCAAAAUGAGCAUUGUUUGAAACGAGAAUAUAGACCUGAACCACUCCAUUUAUUCUGUGAGAAACUUAAAGUUCUGCCUAUUAAAUUAAAAACUGCUAGUCAAACGAAUGAGCUUUUGUGCAAGUUUAGAUAAUUAUGGUGUGGGUUUGUUUUCCAGAACUUAUUCUGCAGCAGUACAAUGGACUGCAUGAGAUUAUACUGUGACCUAUAUUCACAUUGGUUCAAGAGAAGCCAAUUGAACAAAUUGUUAAAAGAAAGUUAAGGUAUUUGUACCAAAAUUGCAUAAACUUAAAAUAUUUAUGCAUGUUCCAUGUUUUUGUGCUUGGCUGCCAAGUACACAUGUAAUCUGGGAAUUUGGUCUGAAAACCACUGGUACACAGUGCUGCACAUGCUUUAGAUCUGCACCUUGCUGUCAAGUUGUGAGCUAAGAAAACUUUGGCACAUUUCACAGCUAGGUAAUUUACUAUAGUUAUUCAGAGUUCAUAUCAUGUCUGCUACAAUCUUAUUAGAAGCUGUAAUAAAUUGUAUACAGCUUUUAUUAGUCAAACUAUUAAAACUUGUCAUGAUUAACAAAUAGCAAAUUUGUUAAGGGUAACAUGGGAUUGGUCACAAAGGUAAUCAGCCAUUUUUAGCGCAAUAGUUGCAGUAAACGUUUGUCGUCCAUACGUGUUUUUGUUUUAUCCAUACGCUUAUAUUUCACGACUUUGUAUGGUCAGGGUCAUGUGGUAUGGAAGCGAUUUUUGGAAAUAUCACUCAUGUGGGAAAUAAGGUAAAUAUGGCACCAAAAGUCAUGAGCCCUCUCUUGAAUUGAUGUAUGUUUAAUUUACAUUGCCCCUUUGGUUGGAUUGUGGGCCCAAGCUAAGCAUACAGAGCUCUAAAGACAUCUUUGUAUGUUCUCAUGCAGCACUGACUGCAAAGGUAGAAGCAAAAUGUUCACUGCCAGGAUGCAGUGUGUGAUGUUAUGGCUAUUCCUCACCAGGACUCGCACUAAUGUGUAAAUUUGUGAGUGUAGUGUCGCCUUUGUUCUGGGCUAAUGUCUUCGUAUAGGUAGUGUUUCAAGCUAAUGCGGCACAUAAAUUUCUUAAAACCAAGACCACUUCUUGAAAGCAAAAUUGGUUAGUAGUUCAAGUAAUUCUUUAAAUGAAACCACAGCAAAGAGUGAACCCUAAAUCUAAAGAUUUAAAAACUAAGCUUGUUUGAGCAGGGGCUUGAUGUUGUUGGCAGGACACGAGACCGGAGAGCUCCUAAUGUAUGGAAGAAUAAGCUUGGCAAACUGCUCCUUUGAGCUCUAAUUUAGGGGCUGGCAGUACAAACUUGGAACCCUGGCGCAAUAGACCAUUCUGAGAGUGCUGCCCAGCCUAGGUUCUGCAAUACCAUUAGUGGGGCCUACAGGUACUGUGGAGAGGCAGCUUAUCUUCCAGACCAGCACAGGCAGAAUACAGGCGUUGCCCACAUGGUGCUUUAGACCCAUGGAGGUGGUCCUGGUCCCAAGGCUCACUGGCACGUGCUAAAGCAGCAACCAACGGCAAACCAGACAAUGGCUUACACGACAUGCCGGACGCCGCACGUGCUCCCCCUGCACUCUGCAAAAAAAAGUGCUCUGCUUCCCAUAACUGGGACCCUGUAUUCAAAGCCUUCUUGCAGAUAAUUUACAGGCUCUGCCAUCUGGCAAGAGCCUGCCUUGCAGCAGCUGUAGCCAAUCAGUAACUCGCAGUUGGAAGAGCACGCCAACUGAGGCAAAGGCCACAGCAGCGACGAGGCUAGCACAUGCAAACAUGAGAGCCACAGAGCUGAAAUACAGAGGGGGGCAGCAGCUCCAGAGGACCCAAAAAUCACAACUAAUAUCUGCAGCCAGGAGCCUUGAAAUCAAUGCUUACUGGGACUGUGGUAUUCCAAUAGCUGGUAUCGGCUGACUGACAAACUUCAUCUUUUGUUUUCUGCUUGACAUAAAGAGCUAUUACUACUUCUAUUCACACAUCCCAUAGCAGCUCGAUCAAAAGGCCAUUGUCAUGUUAUAAUUUGUAUGUUUGUUUCACAUAUACCCAGGACCAUACCACAGGUGGCACUUUCUAAAUAUAUUAGUACACACCAUAUCUACUACUCUACCCUAGUUAGCACUAGACCUGAUGCUAGAUAUGUAUACUGUUAUAUCUUCGUUUUUAAAAUAAAAAAUGUGCUGAUUUCUAUUGUGUUUGACAGAUGUGCCUGCCUGGGCUUGUGUGGCAUCACAGGCAUCUUUGUAAUAUUGUGCACAACCAAAAUAAACUUUUUUUUUAAAAAUCCCCCUUUAUAAUAUUUUAAAGCACUUUGGAAUCUGUUGCUGUUAUAUAAAUGGCGAUAAUAAAAAAAUAAAUUCGCACUUAUUUAUAAGGUGCCAGCAACUUCCAUAGCACGAUGGACUAACAGAUGCGUAAUUUUUCCUGUC
rnacentral:lncRNA from 1 species